rnacentral:rRNA from 1 species
AGAGUUUGAUCCUGGCUCAGGACGAACGCUGGCGGUGUGCUUAACACAUGCAAGUCGAACGGUAAGGCCCUUUCGGGGGUACACGAGUGGCGAACGGGUGAGUAACACGUGAGUAACCUGCCCUCAUCUCUGGGAUAACAGUCGGAAACGGUUGCUAAUACUGGAUAUGAGCUUGCAAGGCAUCUUGUGGGUUGGAAAGAUAUUUUUUGGUUGGGGAUGGACUCGCGGCCUAUCAGCUUGUUGGUGAGGUAGUGGCUCACCAAGGCUUCGACGGGUAGCCGGCCUGAGAGGGCGACCGGCCACAUUGGGACUGAGAUACGGCCCAAACUCCUACGGGAGGCAGCAGUGGGGAAUAUUGCACAAUGGACGGAAGUCUGAUGCAGCAACGCCGCGUGCGGGAUGACGGCCUUCGGGUUGUAAACCGCUUUCAAUUGUGACGAAGCUUUUUUGUGACGGUAGCAGUAGAAGAAGCACCGGCUAACUACGUGCCAGCAGCCGCGGUGAUACGUAGGGUGCGAGCGUUGUCCGGAUUUAUUGGGCGUAAAGAGCUUGUAGGCGGUUUGUCGCGUCGGGAGUGAAAACUUGGGGCUUAACCCUGAGCUUGCUUUCGAUACGGGCUGACUUGAGGGAGGUAGGGGAGAAUGGAAUUCCUGGUGGAGCGGUGGAAUGCGCAGAUAUCAGGAGGAACACCGGUGGCGAAGGCGGUUCUCUGGACCUUUCCUGACGCUGAGAAGCGAAAGCGUGGGGAGCGAACAGGCUUAGAUACCCUGGUAGUCCACGCCGUAAACGGUGGGUACUAGGUGUGGGGGACAUUCCACGUUCUCCGUGCCGUAGCUAACGCAUUAAGUACCCCGCCUGGGGAGUACGGCCGCAAGGCUAAAACUCAAAGGAAUUGACGGGGCCCCGCACAAGCGGCGGAGCAUGCGGAUUAAUUCGAUGCAACGCGAAGAACCUUACCUGGGUUUGACAUAUGCCGGAAGCGUUCAGAGAUGGGCGUGCCUUUUUGGUCGGUUUACAGGUGGUGCAUGGCUGUCGUCAGCUCGUGUCGUGAGAUGUUGGGUUAAGUCCCGCAACGAGCGCAACC